CUCGUGAUGCCAACCGGUGCUUUUGUGGGCUAGUUCGGUCGCCAGAACCGCCAGGACUGGAACUCCUUGGGAUUUAACAUGGACGUGAUUGAAUGCUAUGAAGCGGCAGUCGAGGAAAGCAUGCUUAACAAUUGAAAGUUUGAAGAAUACCCAGAUUCGAAGCACUUACCCGAACUGCCCGUGCUGUCAGAAAUACGGCGAAGGUUCCAGGAUGAGGACAAACACACUGCGUUGCGGUGCCGUCCUGAAGGGUAUUGCUGACACAGGGAGUGAACAAGGGCUCGUAGAGACAAGCAGAGAAAUCGGGCAGCUGCCAUUCUGGCGUCGUUGCAUCCUUCAUGGAACAGAGCCUAGCUAUACG